rnacentral:rRNA from 1 species
UUUUUUUUCAGGGAGAAAACACCGGUUUUAACACAGUCCGGGAAUGACGGUACCUGAAGAAUAAGCACCGGCUAACUACGUGCCAGCAGCCGCGGUAAUACGUAGGGUGCGAGCGUUAAUCGGAAUUACUGGGCGUAAAGCGUGCGCAGGCGGUUAUACAAGACAGGCGUGAAAUCCCCGGGCUUAACCUGGGAAUGGCGCCUGUGACUGUAUAGCUAGAGUGUGUCAGAGGGGGGUAGAAUUCCACGUGUAGCAGUGAAAUGCGUAGAUAUGUGGAGGAAUACCAAUGGCGAAGGCAGCCCCCUGGGAUAACACUGACGCUCAUGCACGAAAGCGUGGGGAGCAAACAGGAUUAGAUACCCUGGUAGUCCACGCCCUAAACGAUG